rnacentral:rRNA from 1 species
ACCCGCUGAACUUAAGCAUAUCACUAAGCGGAGGAAAAGAAACUAACUAGGAUUCCCCCAGUAACUGCGAGUGAAGAGGGAAGAGCUCAUCAUUGGAAUCUGGCAGCGUUGCGCUGUCCGAGUUGUAGAUGAGAAGAGUAGGACAUCUGGACUGCAUGGUGUCCAAGUACAAUAGGCCGUCAGUGGGACAUCAUAGAGGGUGACAAUCCCGUCCUUGACACCAAUGUACGAGUCCUUUACGAUGCCUAUCUCGGAGAGUCGAGCAGUUUGGGAUUUGCUGCUUAAACACGGGAGGUAGAUUCCUUCCAAAGCUAAAUACAGGCAAGAGACCGAUAGUGAACAAGUACCGCAAGGGAAAGAUGAAAUAGAACUCUGUGAAGGGAGUCAAAAAGACGUGAAAUUGUUGCGAGAGAAGCGAUUCAAGUCAGCGUAGCUGGGCCCAUCAAGCCUCGCGCUUUGGACCAGCUUUGCCAGCGGUCUUGUCCCUAGAGACUUGACUAAGGUGCCCUGCCCGGUCUAACGGACAGACCUCCCCUCUGGGGAGGCCAGUGGCAUGGCUGGUGGAAUGGCUUGCAAUCGACCCGUCUUGAAACACGGACCAAGGAGUCUAACAUGUACGCGAGUAUAAGGGUGGCAAACCCGUAUGCGCAAAGAAAGUGAUAGCCUAUGGCUGAGAAUGACCUGACGACCUGACAAGAAAUAUCAUGUCCCUCGUACGGUCAUUGCCCAAGUCCCAUGGUCAGAUCCCAUGGACAUGGAGUUGGAGCGUGCAUGCUAGGACCCGAAAGAUGGUGAACUAUGCCUGGACAAAGCGAAGCCAAAGGAAACUCUGGUGGAGGCUUGUAGCGAUUCUGACGUGCAAAUCGAUCGUCUGAUCUGGGUAUAGGGGCGAAAGACUAAUCGAACCAU